UCAAUCAUACUUUUCUUUAAUAAAUAGAAAAUUUUUGAGGUAUUUAAAAAUAAUUACAUGAAACAUUGAACAACGAAUAUGAAACAUAUCACUUAAAAUAUGCAACAACGAACAUAAAAUAUAAGUACCGCCAUAACAGUGAACAUGAAACACACAACAUCAAACAUGAAACGUAGAACAACAAACAUGAAACGUGGAACGUAAACAUGAAAUAGGGGCAAAAAAGAAAAAUUUUGGGAUAUUUGAAAAAUUAUUACAUGGACCAUCAAACAACAAACAUGAAACAUCUUACUUGAAAUAUGAAACAGCGAACAUUAAAUAUGAGUACCUCGGUAAUAGUGAACACACAACAUCAAACAUGAAACAUAGAACAGCAAACAUGAAACGUGGAACGUAAACAUGAAACAGGGGCAAAAUAAAAAAAUUUCGGGAUAUUUAAAGAAUUAUUACAUGGAACAUCAAACAACAAACAUCAAACAUCUUAUUUGAAAUAUGCAACAACGAACAUUAAAUAUGAGUAUCUCGGUAACAGUGAACACACAACAUCAAACAUGAAACGUAGAACAACAAACAUGAAACGUGGAACGUAAACAUGAAACGGGGGCAAAAAAGAAAAAUUUCGGAAUAUUUGAAAAAUUAUUACAUGGAGCAUUAAACAACAAACAUGAAACAUCUUACUUAAAAUAUACAACAGCGAACAUAAAAUAUAAGUACCACCAUAACAGUGAACAUGAAACAUAAAACAUAAAACAUAAAACACACAAUAUCAAACAUGAAACGUAGAACAGCAAAUGUGAAACGUGGAACGUAAACAUGAAACGGGGCAAAAAAGAAAUAUUUCAGGGUAUUUAAAAAAUUAUUACAUGGAGCAUUAAACAACAAACAUGAAAUAUCUUACUUAAAAUAUACAACAGCGAACAUAAAAUAUGAGUACCUCGGUAACAGUGAACACACAACAUCAAACAUGAAACAUAGAACAGCAAAUAUGAAAUGUGGAACGUAAACAUGAAACGGGGACAAAAAAGAAAAAUUUUGGGAUAUUUAAAAAAUUAUUACAUGAAGCAUUAAACAACAAACAUGAAACAUCUUACUUAAAAUAUGCAACAGCGAACAUAAAAUAUUAGUACCUCGGUAACAGUGAACACACAACAUCAAACAUGAAACGUAGAACAACAAACAUGAAACGUGGAACGUAAACAUGAAAUAGGGGCAAAAAAGAAAAAUUUUGGGGUAUUUGAAAAAUUAUUACAUGGACCAUCAAACAACAAACAUGAAACAUCUUACUUGAAAUAUGAAACAACGAACAUUAAAUAUGAGUACCUCGGUAACAGUGAACACACAACAUCAAACAUGAAACAUAGAACAGCAAACAUGAAACGGGGGCAAAAUAGAAAAAUUUCAGGGUAUUUAAAGAAUUAUUACAUGGAACAUCAAACAACAAACAUCAAACAUCUUAUUUGAAAUAUGCAACAACGAACAUUAAAUAUGAGUAUCUCGAUAACAGUGAACACACAACAUCAAACAUGAAACAUGGAACGUAAACAUGAAAUGGGGGCAAAACAGAAAAAUUUCGGGAUAUUUGAAAAAUUAUUACAUGGAACAUCAAAUAACAAACAUCAAGCAUCUUACUUGAAAUAUGCAACAACGAACAUUAAAUAUGAGUACCUCGGUAAUAGUGAACAUUAAACAUCAAACAUGAAAUUUUGAACUUGCAACAUGAAACAUGAACAUAAACAUGGAACGGGGGCCAAAAAAAAAAAUUUUGGGGUAUUUGAAAAAUAAUUACAUAAAACAUAUAAUAAUAGACAUGAAACACGUUACUUAAAAUAUGCAACAAUGAACAUAAAUAUGAGUACUGCUAUAACAGUGAAUAUAAAAUAUCAAACAUGAAACUUUGAGCUUACAACAUGAAACAUAAACGUAAACAUGAAACGAGGGCAAACAAAAAUUCGGAAUAUUUAGAAAAUAAUUAUAUGAAACAUUGAACAUUAAACAUGAAACUUAAAAUGUUAAAUAUGA
rnacentral:lncRNA from 1 species